GACAGAGGGUGCAAACGUUGUUCGGAAUUACUGGGCGUAAAGCGCGUGUAGGCGGCUAUGUAAGUCGGGCGUGAAAUCCCACGGCUCAACCGUGGAAGUGCACCCGAAACUGCGUAGCUAGAGUCCUGGAGAGGAAGGUGGAAUGCUUGGUGUAGAGGUGAAAUUCGUAGAUAUCAGGCGGAACACCGGUGGCGAAGGCGGCCUUCUGGACAGUGACUGACGCUGAGACGCGAAAGCGUGGGGAGCAAACAGGAUUAAGAA
rnacentral:rRNA from 1 species